UGGAGCAAUGAUGACUGCUGUGACAUAUGGGACCUACAGGAUUAAUCCCUGUCCGGAACGCUGAGGUCCAG
ensembl:snoRNA